ensembl:rRNA 5S_rRNA 5S ribosomal RNA
GGCCGCAGUCAGAUCACCCUGCAGCCCAAGACUGGUCCCGCACUGAAGAUGAGCAGGGCUGAGGCUGGUCAGUGUCUGGAUGGGAGAGCACAUGGGAACACUAGGCUGCUGUUGGCA